UCCUGGCUCAGGACGAACGCUGGCGGCGUGCCUAAUACAUGCAAGUCGAGCGGACAGAAGGGAGCUUGCUCCCGGAUGUUAGCGGCGGACGGGUGAGUAACACGUGGGUAACCUGCCUGUAAGACUGGGAUAACUCCGGGAAACCGGAGCUAAUACCGGAUAGUUCCUUGAACCGCAUGGUUCAAGGAUGAAAGACGGUUUCGGCUGUCACUUACAGAUGGACCCGCGGCGCAUUAGCUAGUUGGUGGGGUAAUGGCUCACCAAGGCGACGAUGCGUAGCCGACCUGAGAGGGUGAUCGGCCACACUGGGACUGAGACACGGCCCAGACUCCUACGGGAGGCAGCAGUAGGGAAUCUUCCGCAAUGGACGAAAGUCUGACGGAGCAACGCCGCGUGAGUGAUGAAGGUUUUCGGAUCGUAAAGCUCUGUUGUUAGGGAAGAACAAGUGCGAGAGUAACUGCUCGCACCUUGACGGUACCUAACCAGAAAGCCACGGCUAACUACGUGCCAGCAGCCGCGGUAAUACGUAGGUGGCAAGCGUUGUCCGGAAUUAUUGGGCGUAAAGGGCUCGCAGGCGGUUUCUUAAGUCUGAUGUGAAAGCCCCCGGCUCAACCGGGGAGGGUCAUUGGAAACUGGGAAACUUGAGUGCAGAAGAGGAGAGUGGAAUUCCACGUGUAGCGGUGAAAUGCGUAGAGAUGUGGAGGAACACCAGUGGCGAAGGCGACUCUCUGGUCUGUAACUGACGCUGAGGAGCGAAAGCGUGGGGAGCGAACAGGAUUAGAUACCCUGGUAGUCCACGCCGUAAACGAUGAGUGCUAAGUGUUAGGGGGUUUCCGCCCCUUAGUGCUGCAGCUAACGCAUUAAGCACUCCGCCUGGGGAGUACGGUCGCAAGACUGAAACUCAAAGGAAUUGACGGGGGCCCGCACAAGCGGUGGAGCAUGUGGUUUAAUUCGAAGCAACGCGAAGAACCUUACCAGGUCUUGACAUCCUCUGACAACCCUAGAGAUAGGGCUUUCCCUUCGGGGACAGAGUGACAGGUGGUGCAUGGUGUCGUCAGCUCGUGUAC
rnacentral:rRNA from 1 species